rnacentral:lncRNA from 1 species
UUAUAGUGUUGUUGAGGUGUUUUAAAGGAAUUUGACAAAGUGUAGCUAAAUAGUUGAGUAGCUGGCAUUUUGCUUGACCGCUCCUAUUAUAUUUGUCAUUGCUCCCUAGCUCCUUUUAUUCAAUGUUUGUGAGUUUCAACUAGUUUUGUGCUUGGUCAUUGGUAUAUUCGCUACCCUUGUGAUUUUUGUUACUAGUUUAUUUGUUGAUUUUGAUGGCUUGAUGGAAACUGUUCUUAAGGGUUUUGUUGGGCUUUUGUUCUAUCUUUGUAACACAAAAUGGUGCCUAGACCAGCUCAUUCGUUCAUUUUCUGCAUCCCUACAAUGAUUGUUUAGAGGGUUGAAUCAUGGCUUUCUUUUUG